GUCUCCUGCACGUAUCAAAACCCAUUAACAAACAGCCACAAUCCGUGCCCUGGGGAAGCAGAGCAAGCUGCUUUUCUUUUUCUUGGCUGGCUCAGCCCGUGCUGGAGUUGUGGGACUUUUCAUCUGUGCACUCAAGAGGAGCGGAGUAAAAGUAGGAUGAUAAAUUGUGGAAAAAAAAGAAACUCGCUGGCUUUGCUCAGAACCUCUGGCCUGCAGCUCCUCCUCUCGCUGUACUCCUUCCAGCACCCCAGAAUUCCCUGCCUCCCUGCAUGUUAUGGCACCUUUGGGAUGUGUUAGUCAUAAGCAUGAAGCUACUGGUGCUUUGCAGGGAUAUUUUCACUCUGGCUCUGGCAGGAGAGCUCUGACACAGCCCUGCUGUCGGCAGCGCUCGCUCAACGACGCCUCCUGAGAUCCCAAAACUCCAAAAAAAAAAGGGGGAAACGGCCAAUUUUCAUUUCCUCAGGGAACAAUGAGAAAAUUUGUCUUUCUGAGCCUAUCUCCUUCUGAAAUGAGCUCCAGGAGUAGUCACAACCUGCCAUAAAAAUGCCAUGUGCAAGAGAAUAUAUUUAAUAUGGGGCAGGCAGAAUGGAACGAUACGAUCUGUUUGGGGUUUGAAGUGGGAGAUGGAAUCCCACUGGAAGAUGGAAUGUGGGACGGGAGAUGGAAUCCUCCAUGCCAGGGAAGCAGCAGAGAGGAGCCAGGGAUGUUUGCUGCACCUUUGCAGCUCAGCGUGGCUCCAGAAGAAAUUAAGAAGUAAUCUUGGUCGUUUGAUUAAUUCUGGAUUAAUUUUGGAGGAUGUUUUGAGGCUCAUCUCAUCCUGAGACAGGAGGGAUGAGGUGCUGGUGAAUGCAAG
rnacentral:lncRNA from 1 species